CAAAAACAUGUCUUUAUGAUAAUUUAUAUAAAGUCUAGCCUGCCCAGUGAUGUUUAAAUUUAACGGCCGCGGUAGUAUGACCGUGCUAAGGUAGCAUAAUAAUUUGUCCUUUAAUUGGGGACUGGUAUGAACGGUUGAACAAGAAAUUAACUGUCUCUAUUGCAGACUUUGAAUUUUACGUUUAAGUGAAAAGGCUUAAAUGAGAUAGGGGGACGAUAAGACCCUAUAAAUCUUUAUGUUUUAACUAAUAAAUUUUAGGGAUUAGUUAUAUACCUAGUAUUAUUAGUUGAAAUAUUUUGUUGGGGCGACAGGAGUAUAAUAAGUAACUGCUUUGUUUAUAAAAUUAAUUGUUUUUAUUGUGGAAAUUGGUAUGAUCCUCUUUAGAGAAAUCAGACUAAGUUACUUUAGGGAUAACAGCGUAAUCUUUUUUGAGAGUUCAUAUCGAAAAAAUGGUUUGCGACCUCGAUGUUGAAUUAAAGAUCCUUGAUGGCGUAGGGGCUAUUAGGGGAGGUCUGUUCGACCUUUAAAUCUUUACGUGAUCUG
rnacentral:rRNA from 1 species